ACUAAUUAUUAAUUUUGGUUGUAUUUGAUGAGAGGAAGAAAGUGGGGAGAGGUGUAAGGUGUUUGUCUGUUUAACGUGAACAUGCAGGAAGGUGUUGUAUUGACCACAGCAAUGCCCUCUUCAUCUUCAUCAUCAUCAUCUUGGAGCCACCAUUGCAACAAUCUCUGUAACUGCAAACACGCUCCUUCCGCCACCUUAGACCUUCUUAUCCUCCUCCUUGUUCUCUUCUCCGGCGCUUUCCUUCUCUCCUCUUAUUUCUCCUACAUCUUCAACUCCCUCUCUCUCCUCCUCCCUUCCGUCUCUCUCCCCAUACCCUACCUCCUCUCAUUCGUGAUUUUCUUUAUCGCUUCGGUGGUCACCGUUGAGUUGUGUUGUGGAGCCCGAUCUCGGAAGUGUGAGAGGAUCGGGUGUAGGGGACUCAAGAAAGCUACGGAGUUUGAUUUGCAGAUAGAGAGAUUCGGUUCUGGUUCGGGAACUGCUUCGGGGUUAGGGUUGGGUGAAUAUGAUAAACUUCCUUGGAAAGGUGGGAGUGAAGGGAAUCCUGAUUAUGAGUGUCUUAGGUCUGAGUUGAGGAAAAUGGCUCCGAUUAAUGGUCGUGCGCUUUUGCUUUUUAGGGCUCCUUGUGGUUGUCCUAUUGCAAAGCUUGAAGCUUCUGGUCCUAAGAAAGGAAAGCGUCAUAAGAGACUAGGCCUAUAGCAAAAUGAAUAUUUCAGUAUAAGACAGAAGGUGUUGGACCAUGCUACAUAAAUCAUGCAGGUCUCAAUCCAGUGCGACUCUUAAUGGAGGAGGAAAUCACCGUUGAUCCAUCACGCCGUCAUCUGAUUUAUAUUAAAACCAUUGUUAUUGUCAUGGUUACCCCUUUAUUGGGAAGCUUCUGAUCAGAACAAUUUUCAUAAGAAAGAAAAUAGCAAUUAGUGUUAACAAUCCUUCCCUGUAUCUGUAUCUGCACUGUCCAGGAGUGUCUAUAAACUUUUGAAGGAUCGUACAGAAUUGACUCCAAUAAACAUGUGGUUCAUUGUUGUUCCAUUUCAUUA